rnacentral:rRNA from 1 species
AAAUUGAAGAGUUUGAUCAUGGCUCAGAUUGAACGCUGGCGGCAGGCCUAACACAUGCAAGUCGAGCGGAAACGAGUUAUCUGAACCUUCGGGGAACGAUAACGGCGUCGAGCGGCGGACGGGUGAGUAAUGCCUAGGAAAUUGCCCUGAUGUGGGGGAUAACCAUUGGAAACGAUGGCUAAUACCGCAUAAUGCCUACGGGCCAAAGAGGGGGACCUUCGGGCCUCUCGCGUCAGGAUAUGCCUAGGUGGGAUUAGCUAGUUGGUGAGGUAAGGGCUCACCAAGGCGACGAUCCCUAGCUGGUCUGAGAGGAUGAUCAGCCACACUGGAACUGAGACACGGUCCAGACUCCUACGGGAGGCAGCAGUGGGGAAUAUUGCACAAUGGGCGCAAGCCUGAUGCAGCCAUGCCGCGUGUGUGAAGAAGGCCUUCGGGUUGUAAAGCACUUUCAGUUGUGAGGAAGGUAGUGCAGUUAAUAGCUGCAUUAUUUGACGUUAGCGACAGAAGAAGCACCGGCUAACUCCGUGCCAGCAGCCGCGGUAAUACGGAGGGUGCGAGCGUUAAUCGGAAUUACUGGGCGUAAAGCGCAUGCAGGUGGUUUGUUAAGUCAGAUGUGAAAGCCCGGGGCUCAACCUCGGAAUUGCAUUUGAAACUGGCAGACUAGAGUACUGUAGAGGGGGGUAGAAUUUCAGGUGUAGCGGUGAAAUGCGUAGAGAUCUGAAGGAAUACCGGUGGCGAAGGCGGCCCCCUGGACAGAUACUGACACUCAGAUGCGAAAGCGUGGGGAGCAAACAGGAUUAGAUACCCUGGUAGUCCACGCCGUAAACGAUGUCUACUUGGAGGUUGUGGCCUUGAGCCGUGGCUUUCGGAGCUAACGCGUUAAGUAGACCGCCUGGGGAGUACGGUCGCAAGAUUAAAACUCAAAUGAAUUGACGGGGGCCCGCACAAGCGGUGGAGCAUGUGGUUUAAUUCGAUGCAACGCGAAGAACCUUACCUACUCUUGACAUCCAGAGAACUUUCCAGAGAUGGAUUGGUGCCUUCGGGAACUCUGAGACAGGUGCUGCAUGGCUGUCGUCAGCUCGUGUUGUGAAAUGUUGGGUUAAGUCCCGCAACGAGCGCAACCCUUAUCCUUGUUUGCCAGCGAGUAAUGUCGGGAACUCCAGGGAGACUGCCGGUGAUAAACCGGAGGAAGGUGGGGACGACGUCAAGUCAUCAUGGCCCUUACGAGUAGGGCUACACACGUGCUACAAUGGCGCAUACAGAGGGCAGCAAGCUAGCGAUAGUGAGCGAAUCCCAAAAAGUGCGUCGUAGUCCGGAUUGGAGUCUGCAACUCGACUCCAUGAAGUCGGAAUCGCUAGUAAUCGUGGAUCAGAAUGCCACGGUGAAUACGUUCCCGGGCCUUGUACACACCGCCCGUCACACCAUGGGAGUGGGCUGCAAAAGAAGUAGGUAGUUUAACCUUCGGGAGGACGCUUACCACUUUGUGGUUCAUGACUGGGGUGAAGUCGUAACAAGGUAGCGCUAGGGGAACCUGGCGCUGGAUCACCUCCUUAUACGAUGAU